GGAUCUGAUUGAAACACUGAUUUUCACUUUAGUUAGAAGCACUUCCCUGUACGAUGCAUGGAAUAAAACUCACUGCAUAGAAGACAGCCGAAAAUUCACCAUGAAAGUUCUAGAGGAAUGAUAAAAAGUAACGAAUGCUUUCCCCAUCUUAUCACGUUGAAAGUCGUUGCAUGCAUACUUCGCGAAACGUAGAGGUUAGGUUUUUGUUUGGAAACAAAAGCUCAAAAGCGUCACGGCCAUUUUGAAAGUCUGCUCCGAGGAGGUCAUUGUCUGCAGAAAGUAAACAUCGGAAGUUGACGGAACUGACGGAAGUCACGACGACAGUUUUGUUUUCGGUCUAGAUAUUUUUUGUGAAAUUUCGCGAACGCGAGUUACAUACGUGUCCAGCUGCGCCUUAUUACAGACAUAUUUCCUCUCUCUCUCUAUUUUGAGAAGUUUUUGAAAGUUCAAUCAGGGCCACCUACUCUCUCUCUGAAUGGAAUAUGCAGAAUGUCAACGGGCAAAAUCCGGAGUUAUUCCAAGGAAUAAUUUUUACUAUGAGGAUUCUUCACAUAUCCCUGUGUCGCAACAUGAUGAUUUAAUUCAAUUUAUGUUUGAUUGUAAGUUUUGCUAUCACGACAGUAUCUUCCUUUUUUUUAAAUCAUUUUUUAUUAACUGUACUCAGUAAAAACCUAGAUUUUUAUUUGUGAAUGGUACCUACUACAAAACAUCUCAAAACAUCAAUUUGACUUAAAUUUAAACUAUUUAGAAUACCUUUCUGUCUUAACAGCUAUAUUUUUUAUUUACGUAUGAUAAGUAUUACAAAAGUGAUACCCGAAGCUUUAACAUGUCACUCAAUAUCAUGUGUAUGCUCCAGACUUCUCAGGUGCUUCCUGCUUUGACCUAAUUUAUUGCGUCUCCAUCCUACUGUGUUAAGGAUAAACGUUGCAUGAACCUUCAGGCAUUGCCAGAUUUCCUUUCAUAAAAUACAAAGUCACUGGGGAAGUUAUAAAAUUUUUUCUUUGAUUUUGUUUGAAAUUUAAUCUAAAACAUCUGAAAAUUUCAAGGAAAAUUAUACAUACCUCUCUUCCACAAUGGAUUUUUCAUCAGGGGAAAUUUGGUAACAUUUAAAUGUUCAUACAGCAUUAUUCCUUUGCAGGGCAGCAUUGGUGGGUUGAGUGGCCAGUCUCUUGGAAAGACUGUCACAAGCCCUAGUCUGGUCAAAUGGCAUUUUGACCGAAAACUGCUCGCUCAGAUCUUAAUUUUUCAUACCUAAUAAUUUGGCGUUUGACCAGACGAAUUUUGAUUUGACCAGUUAGAAAGUACAAGGAAUGAUAUUUUAACAACGAGGAACUUCUUACAUUAGGGAACCUGUCAAUGUACUGUGUUGAUCCAUGAAUUUGAUGGGGAGUGCAUAAAUAGCACCUCUUCACUAAGGCAAUUCCUAAUUCAGGAGGUGAUGCACUAAAAUUCACUAUUUUUAUUGUGAAAUCAUCUUGUCAAUUUGUCAAAGCAUUUAUUAUUUAAUUGUUAGAGGGGGAGGAAAAGAGGACUAAAAAUUGCGAUCUUCGCUGGGGAAAUAUCGCCUAAAAUUUGAAUUUUAUCAAGCCAAUCAGCCAAAGAUUAAAAAAUCAUCAAAAUAUUUGGAUAUUGAAUUAUAAUAUUUGAAAGCUCUUCACUGGUUAUUACCUAGCAGAGAGUUAGGUAUGGCACUUCAAGCUGUACAUCCGGUUUGCCUUUUAGUGUACUUUCCGAAGGGAAUACACUAUUUUUUUAUUUAUACCUCUUUUUUAUGCAUCUGCUUGCACAGUUGCAUCAAGUCGCAAUGCAUCACAAGUUCCCUAGGGUAAGAAGUUCCUCCUUGUUCAAACAUCAUUCCUCAUACUUUUCUUGGACAUUUCCUGAUUGGACCAACAGUAAUUAAGAUUUGACUGGUCACACUGUAACUUGGCCACUUCAUAGUAGAAUUUUUAUAAAGAAUUCAGGUUUGCCCGAUCAGCAUCCGUUAAAUUGCAAUUUGACCAGCCACAAAUUUUCACGGCUGCUUUUCAGGUUUGAUCAGAUUUCAGCUUUGUUAGCAUCGAAUAGAAAUGAUGGGAAGGCUAGCUUGCAUUAGCAUGAAAAUGCCUGUCUUUCCCAAAACUGUGCCAAUUUCUACAAAUCUCGGGAGAAAAGAGGUCUUCGAGUUGAGGCCAAUUUGAAAAAAUGAGAAGGUUGUAGAAGUGCUGCAUGCCUGGUAGCUUCUUACGAAGCACACUAAUCAUUGGCUUAAUCAAUAAGAAUCAAAGAAUUUUUUGUGUUUUAAUGAAAAUUUAAAAAAAUAAAAAAUCAAGAAAGUUCGGUAAAGAAACGAUAUUAUGAUGGAAAAAUUCCAGUGUAUAGUGUUUUAAGAAAUCGAUAAAUUGACCGCGGUUAACAGAAACGCACCAAAUCGAAUUUUGGAGAAAAAUAUGUUCUCUUUUCAAAAAUUAGAAGUUGAAGAAAAAAUAUUUUUAAUGUGAAAACAGUAUUAAAGAUUGUCCUUAAGUAGGGUCUUUUGAAGGAACAAAACUUCUAACUCCUUUUUCUCAGUUUUGCAAACUUUAUGCAAUUUGGUCCAUUGCUUUUAAAGUUGGUCCAUUUAAUGAACCCUUGAAAAUUUUAAUGGCUGCAGGAAUAGUGUGCCUUUGAUACUGGCAUUCGCAAGUGAAGCUGUUUUAAGCUUUCUUUAAUUUUUCUCAUAAUUUUCAAAACAAUUGCCAAGUUUAGGUAACACACCGAGCCGUGAAGAAUGACCAAUUGCUCAGCAUGAUUACUGUGUAAGAAAUUAUCACAGGGUGGAAAAUUGCCAGAGAGGUUGCAACUAACAUAGCAUAUUUUAUUUUAAUGUACUUUUAAGUCAAAUUUUGCCAUCUUGAGUACCCUCAGUAUGAUAAUACAUUUGGUUUAUGUAUUUUAUUUAUUGUUUAUUUUUUCAGCAUGGAACAAGGUUUUUGUGAGCAACAAGCAAAUGGCCAAGGUAACUCCUGUCUCCUUUCAUAUCUCUAACUUGGUGAUUGCUAUCAUUCACCAAUGUUCCUCUCCCUAAACAGGCAAUAUCUCCUGUGCUGUAGUGGACAAAAGCUUAUACUCUCUGAGUUGGUGAAUGAUCUCAUCUAUGAAGGUUUUUCAGCAGCCUGAUUGUUGAAAUUUAUUCGGCACUACAGAAUCGAAAUCGAUUAUUACACGGCGAGGGCUAUGUCUUGUCUUAUCGUGCCGACAAGCCAGUUAAAGUUUCAACAAUCAGGCUGCAGAAGAGACAUCUCGAUCCUCAUUGGCUCUAUAGCCUUUAUGGUUACAUUUGUGAUGGUAUUUUAUUUUUAAGUAAAAUGCCCUAACUUUACAAAUAUAUUUAGUGUCAAUCUGGUAACUGUGGACUAACCAAGAAGCCAGUAAGUGAAGCUUGAAGACAGUGUAAUUGUUUUUUAAAUAUAUAUUCUCUCCUGCGCAAGCUUUAAAAAACCAAAUACAAAAAAAAAUAUAAAAAAAGACACAAACCAGGUGGUAAAUGUAAGUCACUUGUCAAAUCAAUGUUUCCAGUCGGAUUUUUCUCCUUGGCACUGCUUCUUUCUAAUUCUUUUAGAAAAAAAAGGCAGUGUUACAGUAAUAAACAUAUGUACUAAUUAUAUUUUACUAAAUGUUUAAAAAAUAUUUUGCAUUGAAUUAUGCCAAAAUAAUGGACAUUACGAUGCGUUUUUGAUACUUUGAAUUUCUGAUUUUGCAGUAAUACUGGUGCUACAUCGUACUAACCUUUAUCUGGGUGCAAACGAAUCAGAAAUUGCCACCUUUUUCUCUCUCAUUACCUCUGAUUUACCUAAGUAUGAUCUCAACAAAUGUCUCUUUUUUCAGAACGAAUCAAUGUCUCUUACUAUAGUGAGGAUGAAGUGAAUUCUCAAUUGAAAGGUAAUACUCUACUAACCCGUCAUCUAAUAGUAUAUCUUAAGCUUUUCUUUUACAUGCCUAAGGCCUGACUCUAUCAUCACCUAAAAUCACUUCAUCCUGAAGCAUGCGUCAAAUUUUUAAAAAGUGCAGGUCAAAGUUUUCAGCUCCUGAACAUCCUGCCGUUAAAGUUGGAAAUGUUAUUCCCACCAUAAAAUUCACUACACGUAAGCCCUAAAACCCCCCAAAAGCGAGCAUUUGAAGUUUUGCUUUGUUUAGAAAUUGAAUCUGUCAGUAGGUGGCAGAACCAGGCCUUUCGAUUGAAAAUUGACUCAAGCCAGGGAUCUUCAUGAGUGUCAGUUUCAACAAAGUGGGCUAAUGGCUCGUUGUACAUUUUAUAAAAUUUUGAUAUUGAUCAACGGUAAGUUCAUUUAAAGAAAAAAGAUCCUAAAAUUUAUGGAAGUACCUACAUUUUUGGGCCAAAUUACUCAUAAUAUACAUAGAUAAAUACCUAUUUUUCCGGAUAAUCGAUGACUAUAGUAUAAAACCAUACAUCUCCAUUG
rnacentral:lncRNA from 1 species